rnacentral:rRNA from 1 species
UACGGAGGGUGCGAGCGUUGUCCGGAAUCAUUGGGCGUAAAGGGCGCGUAGGUGGCUUCUUAAGCGUGCGGUGAAAGCCUGGGGCUCAACCCCGGGUCGGCCGUGCGAACUGGGGGGCUGGAGCACUGUAGAGGCAGGCGGAAUUCCGGGUGUAGCGGUGGAAUGCGUAGAGAUCCGGAAGAACACCGGUGGCGAAGGCGGCCUGCUGGGCAGUUGCUGACGCUGAGGCGCGAAAGCUCGGGGAGCGAACGGG